CUCCCUGCGGGACUGCCUGGUGUCUCUGUUCCUUCCUCAUGGCUUCCCAGACAGUGUGAGUGACGACUACGUGGCCUAUCAGCUGUGGGAUACCAUCCAGGCGUUUGCCAGCAGUGUGACGGGAUCGUUGGCUACUCAUUCUCUCCUGCGUGGAUCGGGUGUGGGGGACAGUUCAGCCACGGUGGCUGCGGCCACGGUCACAUGGAUCCUGA